rnacentral:lncRNA from 1 species
UGGUGCGUAGCUGGGUGGGUAAGCUUUAGCAUGCGCUGGUGGACGAGUCCUUGCCCACGUGUGCAGAUUGGCGAUGGUGUCCAAGUUCGUUGGGCGAGGCACUGUUGGAGCUCCUGCUGCUGAGCCAGCACGCGACGCCCGUCGUCCGUCGAUGCCACCGGGGCCGCCGCCGGCGGCGAGAAGACCAACAGCUUCAGCUUCAACAGCACCGACGGACACACGUUCAACAGCUUCAUCAUGAACGCACAUGACCCCAAGUUAGCGGAUGGGCCUCGCGGUGGCGACGGCGCGCCGGCGCGUCGCCGCAGCCGGGUGCACAUGCCGCGCAUGCGAACCCGACGUUGCCG